rnacentral:rRNA from 1 species
GACGAACGCUGGCGGCGUGCUUAACACAUGCAAGUCGAACGGAAAGGCCUCAGCUUGCUGGGGUACUCGAGUGGCGAACGGGUGAGUAACACGUGGGUGAUCUGCCUUGCACUCUGGGAUAAGCUUGGGAAACUGGGUCUAAUACCGGAUAUGAACUGCCUUUAGUGUGGUGGUUGGAAAGUUUUUUCGGUGCAAGAUGAGCUCGCGGCCUAUCAGCUUGUUGGUGGGGUAAUGGCCUACCAAGGCGUCGACGGGUAGCCGGCCUGAGAGGGUGUACGGCCACAUUGGGACUGAGAUACGGCCCAGACUCCUACGGGAGGCAGCAGUAGGGAAUAUUGCACAAUGGGCGGAAGCCUGAUGCAGCGACGCCGCGUGGGGGAUGACGGCCUUCGGGUUGUAAACUCCUUUCGACAGGGACGAAGCUUUUUGUGACGGUACCUGUAUAAGAAGCACCGGCUAACUACGUG